rnacentral:rRNA from 1 species
UACGUAGGGUGCGAGCGUUGUCCGGAAUUAUUGGGCGUAAAGGGCUCGUAGGCGGUUUGUCGCGUCGGGAGUGAAAACCCUGGGCUUAACUCAGUGCUUGCUUCCGAUACGGGCAGACUAGAGGUAUUCAGGGGAGAACGGAAUUCCUGGUGUAGCGGUGAAAUGCGCAGAUAUCAGGAGGAACACCGGUGGCGAAGGCGGUUCUCUGGGAAUGUCCUGACGCUGAGGAGCGAAAGUGUGGGGAGCGAACAGG